rnacentral:rRNA from 1 species
UACAGGGGGUGCAAACGUUGCUCGGAAUCAUUGGGCGUAAAGCGCACGUAGGCGGUUCGUUAUGUCGGAUGUGAAAGCCCUUGGCUUAACCGAGGAAGUGCAUCCGAAACUGGCGAGCUAGAGUACGAAAGAGGAUCGCGGAAUUCCCGGUGUAGAGGUGAAAUGCGUAGAUAUGCGGAGGAACACCGAUGGCGAAGGCAAUCCCCCUGGGCCUGUACUGA